rnacentral:rRNA from 1 species
CGCGUAACACGUAAGCAACCUGCCCCAAAGACCGGGACAACAUUCCGAAAGGGGUGCUAAUACCGGAUGUGGUCAUCGGAAGACCUCUUCUGAUGAGUAAAUCAAGCAAUUGGCUUUGGGAGGGGCUUGCGGCCUAUCAGCUAGAUGGUGGGGUAAUGGCCUACCAUGGCGACGACGGGUAGCUGGUCUGAGAGGAUGGUCAGCCGGAUUGGGACUGAGAUACGGCCCAG